rnacentral:rRNA from 1 species
CCUACGGGAGGCAGCAGUGGGGAAUUUUGGACAAUGGGCGCAAGCCUGAUCCAGCCAUGCCGCGUGCAGGAUGAAGGCCUUCGGGUUGUAAACUGCUUUUGUACGGAACGAAAAGACUCUGGUUAAUACCUGGGGUUCAUGACGGUACCGUAAGAAUAAGCACCGGCUAACUACGUGCCAGCAGCCGCGGUAAUACGUAGGGUGCGAGCGUUAAUCGGAAUUACUGGGCGUAAAGCGUGCGCAGGCGGUUAUAUAAGACAGAUGUGAAAUCCCCGGGCUCAACCUGGGAACUGCAUUUGUGACUGUAUAGCUAGAGUACGGUAGAGGGGGAUGGAAUUCCGCGUGUAGCAGUGAAAUGCGUAGAUAUGCGGAGGAACACCGAUGGCGAAGGCAAUCCCCUGGACCUGUACUGACGCUCAUGCACGAAAGCGUGGGGAGCAAACAGGAUUGGAUACCCUGGUAGUCCACGCCCUAAACGAUGUCACUGGUUGUUGGUCUUCACUGACUCAGUAACGAGCUACGCGUGAGUGACGCGNGGAGACGCGCGAGUAGACGANAAGAGAGUAGACGCGUGAGAGAGACGACGACGACGACGAGGGAGGAGG